GAGACCGCUGCAAGCGCCGUACGCCCGCGACGUACAGAGCGGCGCUGGAGGGCUUCGCGGGCGCUGGCGGACCCUGGCGGCUCCCAGCCGCACUGCACCCACCUCCUUUUGAAGAACAGGGCUACUGUGGUGCAACUACUGCACAAAUGCCAUCUAACCCUAAACACUAUCAUUGACUCAAAAGAGAAACUGACCUGUUUCUUCUCCCAAAGUUCUGAAGUAUAUUGUUGGCUGUCAGUGGGAGAGGAAGCCCCUCGUUUCGCCGAGACUUGAAGUGCAAGGAAUGGUAUAUUAAAACUGCAUCAUUUUCAGUCAAAAAAACGAAAAAAAAGAAAAAAAAGUGUUGGCUGGUCAUCAUGGUGUGGUGGCAAACAUCUUUACUACCAUCACUCUGUAGACAGGAGGAUCUCUGAAAGUUCAAGGACACCCUGGUCUACACUGCAAGUUCCAAACCAGCUAGGGCUACAAAGUGAAACCCUAUCUCAAAAAAUAAAAUAUGCCACGAUUCUCCCAUAGCA